GCGCCCGUAGUUCAGCUGGAUAGAGCACCAGGCUUCGAACCUGGGUGUCGGGAGUUCGAAUCUCUCCGGGCGCGCCA
rnacentral:tRNA from 1 species